AGCCCACCAAUCAUAUACAAUCAUUAAAAAUCAAAUCAAAUUAUUUAUAAUACAACCCACUAAACAUUUAAUAUACAAUCAACCAACCACCAUAAGAAUACAAACAUUAAAAAUCAAAUUAUUUACAAAACUUAUCGAGGUUCCAAAUCCAAACUAUAAAACAUAGAAAAUACAAAAACUACAACUCAUCAUCCGCAUCUUCAAUCUCAACAUCAACCAUUCUAUUAUCAAUAUUUCGUUGAUAUAUCCAGUUAUAAUCAGGUUCUAUCUACACAAUCAAAUCACAUUCAAGUAAUUAGUUCAAGUCACAAAAGCUCACAUUUCAAAUACUUACACCUAAACAUUUUCAAGUCACUAAUUCAAUUAACAAGUUACCAAACUAAACGAAAUUCAAAUGAAAAGUUCACGUUUCCAGUACCUACACUUAAACAUUUUGAAGUCACUAAUUCACUUCUAAAGUGACCACUGUCGCGCCCCGUUUUCCUCACGGAAGGCGGGAUUCAACGUGAUAGACUCUUUUUGGGAUGCGUUUAAAAGGGUGUGAAGAGUCGCCACCUAACAUAUUAAGGUGCGUUAGGGCACCGGUCUAGGAUACUACGAACCUAUUUUUUAUUAUUUAGUCUUAAUUCACCAAAGCUCGGGUAAGGGUUCAAAUUACCUCAAAAGAAAGGUGUUAGGCACCUUUAGAGGUCCACAAAGGUGGUUCUCGGCCGAAUUCAUGCUUUACAUGGGGAUUCUAUGUGAUCAAAUAAAGUCUCUUAUUUUUUCAUUAAUUUAAUGUUUAGCUAAGCGAUAAAAUAAUUAAUAAGCAAACACAUGUCAUUUUGUUAAUUCUAAUUGUUAAUUAUCUAGGUCAUAAAGACAAAUAAAACAUGUAAAUAAGACAGGCGAGGAAAAAGAAGGCAAGACAAUUUAUGAUAAAGGGGACUGCUCAUGUAAUAAACUAACUACCCCAAAUAAACAUAUAGUAAAUAAAAAGACUAGAAAGAAAUCGUCCAAGUCAAAGGAAUGGUUUGGUUUUAUUCGGAUCAGAAACCCAACUUGUUAAUCAUCAUCCGACCCAAGAGCCGAAACUUAAUAUGUCGAAAUCAAUUAACAUUCCUAAAUCAGGAUUUCUAGGCGGCCAAGUAAGUAAAUUAAUAGAUUUUAAGUCGCGUUUUGCCUAAGUGUUUCGUAUAGCACAUAAUACAUGUAAAAAUCCUAAAUUGCGCCUACUACGUCAUUCAUAGAGCACAUAAUCCCCGCCCCCAAAGAAGUCCCCAAAAUUAUAUUAUUACAUCGAUAAUAAUGUCUUUACACGAUACUACAAAUCAAAUAAUAAGAAAGUAUACUCAAGCUAAUGUAAUCUAAUUAUAUAACUAAUCUGGUGACUCUUCGAAACCCGUAGUUGUCUACUUAAACCAGUGAUUAGCAAUAAGAGAGAUAAAUAAUAAUAGAAGCCAAAAUCCAAGUAUACGUAAUAGCGAGAUAUGCAAGAUGUUAACAGCAGCCUCCAAAGAGAAACAAAAGCACUUAAAAAUAUUUAAUUGCCUUUGUACAAAAGUAGCCAAUGAUUUUUGUUAAGAGUAGUAGUAGUAAUUGUAAUUGUGAAACUUGAGAACUUUUCACUGUCCCUUUUUGUGAAUGAAGGGAUGGGUUUAUAUAGUGUUAAAGAAAUCAGUCAUCCGAGAUAAAAUAGAAAAAAAAUAUUCCCCUCCUCUAAUUACUAAGUCUUUCCCAUAAAUAAAUUGUUAUUAUACCAAAUCAAUUAAAGUAAAACAAGAAAGAGGGAAAAAAUCAAUUGACUAAUAUGCUCACCAUAAUAGAGGGAGUUUAAAAUAUGGUUAACGUAUAUUUAAUAAAGAAAAUUAGCAAAUAGACUCAAUCAAUUAUUUUCGGUUACCAUAAAUAAAUAAGUAAAAGAAAGGUAUUGAUUUUAAGAGAACAAAUAACCAAACAUGCAUCAACGUCGAUAUUUCCCAUAAUAGAAGAUAUCAAUCCCGUCAUAUCAGGUUCAUUCAAAUCAAGCAAAUAAUUUAUACCAUAACUUCAUGAUAUAAAGGAAAUCGGCCACAGAAAUUACCAAUGAGACACGUAAAUCCUACCCUAAUUACAGGGUGUGGAAAAUGGCCUUAAAAUCAUAUCGAAGUCAGUCCUAAAACUAUAUCAAGCAGAUGUAUAAAUCAUGCUAUAGUCAGGAAAAAAGAGAGUCAUUCACGAAGACGAUUUCCACUACAAUCAAUCAAGUAAAUAGGGUAGUGAACCUAGGAGGAGAAAUUUACUACAAGUCUAGCCACAAUUGGGAUUUAAACAGUUUGCCAAAGGCUUUCAUGCAUAUGGGUUUAAGAAAUUACUAGAACUAGUCCACAAAUUCGCGAAAUUUCAAACGUAAAAAAAUAGAUCAGAAGAUAAUAACAUGCAAAUAAAGAUGAGAUACCAAACCUCGGACAGAUUCUUAAGAAUCCGUCAAGAACAUGGAUUUUCUGGAGCUAGUAGAGGAGGCUGUUGAUGACGGUGUGAAGGCAUGGCCCUUCGAAGGACAGACUGGUGUCGUUAAUGUUGUCACUGGCGGCGCGAGGGGUCGAACGGAGGGAGGAAGAUCUGGCGCCGAUGGAGGAGGGGCGUGGCGCCAUGAAUGGCGUCGGAGUCCAUGGCUGGUGCGGCAUAGGCGUUCUCCGGCGGGUGGCGACUGAGAAAGAGGCGGUAACACACCUGUUUUGCUGGUGAUGACGCCGGUGAUGUCGUUGGUUCGCCGAAAAAAAAAGACGAAGGGUGAUGGCUGGCUGUCGAC
rnacentral:lncRNA from 1 species